rnacentral:rRNA from 1 species
UACGUAGGGGGCAAGCGUUGUCCGGAUUUAUUGGGCGUAAAGAGCGUGUAGGCGGCCAGGUAGGUCAGCUGUGAAAACUCGAGGCUCAACCUCGAGACGUCGGUUGAAACCAUCUGGCUAGAGUCCGGAAGAGGAGAGUGGAAUUCCUGGUGUAGCGGUGAAAUGCGCAGAUAUCAGGAGGAACACCUAUUGCGAAGGCAGCUCGCUGGGACGUAACUGACGCUGAGACGCGAAAGCGUGGGGAGCAAACAGG